UUAAGUUAAUAAGGGCGCACGGUGGAUGCCUUGGCACUAGGAGCCGACGAAGGACGUGACAAACGACGAUAUGCCUUGGGUAGCUGUAAGUAAGCGAUGAUCCAGGGAUUUCCGAAUGGGGGAACCCAACAGGUAAUACCUGUUACCUACAUCUGUUAAGGAUGUGAGGAGGAAGACGCAGUGAACUGAAACAUCUAAGUAGCUGCAGGAAGAGAAAGCAAAAGCGAUUGCCUUAGUAGCGGCGAGCGAAACGGCAGAAGGGCAAACCGAAGAGUUUACUCUUCGGGGUUGUAGGACUGCAAUGUGGACUCAAAGAUUAUAGAAGAAUGAUUUGGGAAGAUCAGCCAAAGAGAGUAAUAGCCUCGUAUUUAAAAUAGUCUUUGUACUUAGCAGUAUCCUGAGUACGGCGGGACACGUGAAAUCCCGUCGGAAUCUGGGAGGACCAUCUCCCAACCCUAAAUACUCCCUAGUGACCGAUAGUGAACCAGUACCGUGAGGGAAAGGUGAAAAGCACCCCGGGAGGGGAGGGAAAUAGAACCUGAAACCGUGUGCCUACAACAAGUUCGAGCCCGUUAAUGGGUGAGAGCGUGCCUUUUGUAGAAUGAACCGGCGAGUUACGUUAUGAUGCGAGUUUAAGUUGAAGAGACGGAGCCGUAGGGAAACCGAGUCUGAAUAGGGCGCCUUAGUAUCAUGACGUAGACCCGAAACCAUGUGACCUACCCAUGAGCAGGUUGAAGGUGCGGUAAGACGCACUGGAGGACCGAACCAGGGCACGUUGAAAAGUGCUUGGAUGACUUGUGGGUAGCGGAGAAAUUCCAAACGAACUUGGAGAUAGCUGGUUCUCUCCGAAAUAGCUUUAGGGCUAGCGUCGACAUUAGAGAUUCUUGGAGGUAGAGCACUGUUUGGGUGAGGGGUCCAUCCCGGAUUACCAAUCUCAGAUAAACUCCGAAUGCCAAUGAAUUAUGGUCGGCAGUCAGACUGCGAGUGCUAAGAUCCGUAGUCGAAAGGGAAACAGCCCAGACCACCAGCUAAGGUCCCAAAAUAAUUGUUAAGUGGAAAAGGAUGUGGGGUUGCACAGACAACUAGGAUGUUAGUUUAGAAGCAGCUAUUCAUUCAAAGAGUGCGUAAUAGCUCACUAGUCGAGUGACCCUGCGCCGAAAAUGUACCGGGGCUAAAACAAUUUACCGAAGCUGUGGAUACCUUUAUAGGUAUGGUAGGAGAGCGUUCUAUGUGUGAUGAAGGUAUACCGUGAGGAGUGCUGGAACGCAUAGAAGUGAGAAUGCCGGUAUGAGUAGCGAAAGACAGGUGAGAAUCCUGUCCACCGUAAGACUAAGGUUUCCAGGGGAAGGCUCGUCCGCCCUGGGUUAGUCGGGACCUAAGGAGAGACCGAAAGGUGUAUCCGAUGGACAACAGGUUGAUAUUCCUGUACUAGAGUAUGUAGUGAUGGAGGGACGCAGUAGGCUAACUAAAGCAGACGAUUGGAAGAGUCUGUCUAAGCAGUGAGGUGUGAAUUGAGUCAAAUGCUUAAUUCUAUAACAUUGAGCUGUGAUGGGGAGCGAAGUUUAGUAGCGAAGUUAGUGACGUCACACUGCCAAGAAAAGCUUCUAGCGUUUAAACAUACUCUACCCGUACCGCAAACCGACACAGGUAGUCGAGGCGAGUAGCCUCAGGUGAGCGAGAGAACUCUCGUUAAGGAACUCGGCAAAAUGACCCCGUAACUUCGGGAGAAGGGGUGCUGACUUUAAGUCAGCCGCAGUGAAUAGGCCCAAGCAACUGUUUAUCAAAAACACAGCUCUCUGCUAAAUCGUAAGAUGAUGUAUAGGGGGUGACGCCUGCCCGGUGCUGGAAGGUUAAGAGGAGUGCUUAGCGUAAGCGAAGGUAUGAAUUGAAGCCCCAGUAAACGGCGGCCGUAACUAUAACGGUCCUAAGGUAGCGAAAUUCCUUGUCGGGUAAGUUCCGACCCGCACGAAAGGCGUAAUGAUUUGGGCACUGUCUCAACGAGAGACUCGGUGAAAUUUUAGUACCUGUGAAGAUGCAGGUUACCCGCGACAGGACGGAAAGACCCCAUGGAGCUUUACUGCAGUUUGAUAUUGAGUGUCUGUACCACAUGUACAGGAUAGGUAGGAGUCUAAGAGAUCGGGACGCCAGUUUCGAAGGAGACGCUGUUGGGAUACUACCCUUGUGUUAUGGCCACUCUAACCCAGAUAGGUGAUCCCUAUCGGAGACAGUGUCUGACGGGCAGUUUGACUGGGGCGGUCGCCUCCUAAAAGGUAACGGAGGCGCCCAAAGGUUCCCUCAGAAUGGUUGGAAAUCAUUCGCAGAGUGUAAAGGUAUAAGGGAGCUUGACUGCGAGAGCUACAACUCGAGCAGGGACGAAAGUCGGGCUUAGUGAUCCGGUGGUUCCGUAUGGAAGGGCCAUCGCUCAACGGAUAAAAGCUACCCUGGGGAUAACAGGCUUAUCUCCCCCAAGAGUUCACAUCGACGGGGAGGUUUGGCACCUCGAUGUCGGCUCGUCGCAUCCUGGGGCUGUAGUCGGUCCCAAGGGUUGGGCUGUUCGCCCAUUAAAGCGGCACGCGAGCUGGGUUCAGAACGUCGUGAGACAGUUCGGUCCCUAUCCGUCGCGGGCGUAGGAAAUUUGAGAGGAUCUGCUCCUAGUACGAGAGGACCAGAGUGGACUUACCGCUGGUGUACCAGUUGUCUUGCCAAAGGCAUCGCUGGGUAGCUAUGUAGGGAAGGGAUAAACGCUGAAAGCAUCUAAGUGUGAAACCCACCUCAAGAUGAGAUUUCCCAUGAUUAUAUAUCAGUAAGAGCCCUGAGAGAUGAUCAGGUAGAUAGGUUAGAAGUGGAAGUGUGGCGACACAUGUAGCGGACUAAUACUAAUAGCUCGAGGACUUAUCCAA
rnacentral:rRNA from 1 species